rnacentral:rRNA from 1 species
AGUGAACGCUGGCGGUAGGCCUAACACAUGCAAGUCGAACGGCAGCACAGGAGAGCUUGCUCUCUGGGUGGCGAGUGGCGGACGGGUGAGGAAUACAUCGGAAUCUACUCUGUCGUGGGGGAUAACGUAGGGAAACUUAUGCUAAUACCGCAUACGACCUACGGGUGAAAGCAGGGGAUCUUCGGACCUUGCGCGAUUGAAUGAGCCGAUGUCGGAUUAGCUAGUUGGCGGGGUAAAGGCCCACCAAGGCGACGAUCCGUAGCUGGUCUGAGAGGAUGAGCAGCCACACUGGAACUGAGACACGGUACAGACUCCUACGGGAGGCAGCAGUGGGGAAUAUUGGAAAAUGGGCGCAAGCCGGAUCCAGCCAUACCGCGUGGGGGAAGAAGGCCUUCGGGUUGUAAAGCCCUUUUGUUGGGAAAGAAAUCCAGCUGGCUAAUACCCGGUUGGGAUGACGGUACCCAAAGAAUAAGCACCGGCUAACUUCGCGCCAGCAGCCGCCGUAA